AGCUCCAAUAGCGUAUAUUAAAGUUGUUGCAGUUAAACGCUCGUAGUCGGAUUUCGGGGCGGCUUCGUCGGUCUGCCGAUGGGUAUGCACUGACGCGGGCGUCCUUCCUUCCGGAGACGCGUCCUACUCUUAGCUGAGCGGGGCGUGGAGACGGAUCGUUUACUUUGAAAAUCAGAGUGUUUCAAGCAGGCAUCAUCGCUCUUGCAUGGAUUAGCAUGGGAUAAUGAAAUAGGACCUUGGUGCUAUUUUGUUGGUUUCGAGCACCGAAGUAAUGAUUAACAGGGACAGUCAGGGGCACUCGUAUUCCGCCGAGAGAGGUGAAAUUCUCAGACCAGCGGAAGACGAACCACUGCGAAAGCAUUUGCCAGGGAUGUUUUCA
rnacentral:rRNA from 1 species